GCCGAGAUCGUCUAGUUGGUUAGGACACUGUGUUGUGGUCCAUCAAUUGCUAAACCGCAGAAACCUGAGUUCGAAUCUCAGUCUGGGCA